rnacentral:rRNA from 1 species
UACGUAGGGUGCGAGCGUUAAUCGGAAUUACUGGGCGUAAAGCGUGCGCAGGCGGUUCGUUGUGUCGGCGGUGAAAGCCCCGGGCUCAACCCUGGGAAUGGCCGUUGAAACUGGCGAACUGGAGUGUGGCAGAGGGGGGUGGAAUUCCGCGUGUAGCAGUGAAAUGCGUGGAGAUGCGGAGGAACACCGAUGGCGAAGGCAGCCCCCUGGGCUGACACUGACGCUCAGGCACGAAAGCGUGGGGAGCAAACAGG